rnacentral:ncRNA from 2 species
AAUUUAUUGGGGCGCGAUGAAGCACCGGUCGUAAUUUGGCCACUUGACUGGUGCUGAGCCAGUAGUGAAACCGACCCUUUAUGGG